CGCGUGCUGCCCGCAGACGCUUACUGCCCGGUGCACACAGUGCGAGCGGCCUUUUCUUUAUUAGUGAAGUUUGUGAUAGGCUCUCUUUAAGUUGGCUUUUUUCCCCUUCUGCUUCUAAUAGAUGGUCUUCUAUAAUAAGCAAAUGCCCAGCACUGGGUGAGCUUCAUCUAGGCUGGAAUCUCUGAUCCUCGGGGCUGGGAAGAGGAGGAAGCUGUGAGUCACAAGGAAACCCAGACUCAGAGAUUCCACUCACCUCAACACUCCAAAGGAGAAAUGUAUUUCGAUUCCUGAAUCGUAAAAAAACAAAACUUGUAUCUGAUUCAGCGACAGAACAUGAAGUACUCGGCCACCAAGAAGUGACUCAGGGUAAGAAUGUCCCUUUCCAGCUUGGUGUGGGAAAUCGAUGACAUCAUAGCAAGAGAAGACUCUCGAGAUAGUAAGAACGGGAGUGAAGAGGCCCAGCUGUUGUUUGCAGAAGCCACAGCCAUGUGCGUGGAAUUCACUCUAAACUAAAUGCCCUCUCCUU